rnacentral:rRNA from 1 species
CGCGGCCUAUCAGCUUGUUGGUGGGGUAAUGGCCUACCAAGGCGUCGACGGGUAGCCGGCCUGAGAGGGUGUACGGCCACAUUGGGACUGAGAUACGGCCCAGACUCCUACGGGAGGCAGCAGUGGGGAAUAUUGCACAAUAGGCGCAAGCCUGAUGCAGCGACGCCGCGUGGGGGAUGACGGCCUUCGGGUUGUAAACUCCUUUCGCUAGGGACGAAGCGUGUUUGUGACGGUACCUGGAGAAGAAGCACCGGCUAACUACGUGCCAGCAGCCGCGGUAAUACGUAGGGUGCGAGCGUUGUCCGGAAUUACUGGGCGUAAAGAGCUCGUAGGUGGUUUGUCGUGUCGUUUGUGUAAGCCCGCAGCUUAACUGCGGGACUGCAGGCGAUACGGGCAUAACUUGAGUGCUGUAGGGGAGACUGGAAUUCCUGGUGUAGCGGUGGAAUGCGCAGAUAUCAGGAGGAACACCGAUGGCGAAGGCAGGUCUCUGGGCAGUAACUGACGCUGAGGAGCGAAAGCAUGGGUAGCGAACAGGAUUAGAUACCCUGGUAGUCCAUGCCGUAAACGGUGGGCGCUGGGUGUGAGUCCCUUCCACGGGGUUCGUGCCGUAGCUAACGCAUUAAGCGCCCCGCCUGGGGAGUACGG